CGGGCGGCCGUGACCCUGCUGGAGUGCGGGGGGGACCUCCAGCCCCCCGGGGGGUCCCUGCGCCUCCUCUGCCGAGGGGCCGGGUUUGAUUUUGGACAAUUUGGGAUGGGCUGGAUGCGUCAACGACCCGGGCAGGGGCUGGAAUUCGUCGCAGGGAUCACCAGCACUGGUGACAACGCCGGCUACGCGGAUUCAGUCAGGGGCCGGUUCACGAUCUCCAGGGACAACGGGCAGAGCUCGGUGACGCUGACCGUGAACAACCUCAAGGAUGAGGAUUCCGGAUCCUAUUUCUGCGCCAUACCUUAUUGUAGUGGUUGCUGGGCUGCUGGGAACAAUGGUGACGAUGUUGGUGAUUGCCUCCAGGCCAUGCUUUUUGCCCCACUCCCUUCAUUUUGUCACCAAAGCUCUGAUUUUCAUCCCAAACCUCUCAUCUUGACGCACUCCUUCACCUUUUGA